CUUUAUUUAGUUUGACAGGGCUGCACCAUUUUUCUUCUGUAAAACUGAAACAUUGAAAGAAAAGUAGAAAACAAUUCAAUCAGAGGGUAGCACUGUCGCGUUGUUUAAUUUCUCCAGAGUGAGGGUCCGGGGACGGGGUCUGUGUCUGGCGGGCGAGAGAGAGAGAUUGAUAGGGACAAUGUUGGGGAGAAACAGAAGCCCUGCAGUGAAGAUUCUCUGGUUAUGGACCCUCGGAACAGCAGCAGUUCUUGUUACCACUGUGGUUAAAACUCGUCUGAAGGACUUGGAAGCCCUGAUGAAAGCAGAGCAAUUAAAGGGUUUGAACGAAAAUAUCCCAUCUGACAAUAGUGCUCUUCUAAUUGAUGAAGUAAUUGAUGAAGGCCUGCAAAAGGUUUAGAGGCAUUUGCCCCCAACUAUGUCCAGUUCCAAAUGAGUGCCAGGGCUUAACUGUUGUCGAGAAUAUAAUUUUUUUAAUGGUGGCUUCAUUGAGUAAAUGAAUGAUUACAUUGUCAAGUAUAUUUAUUGACCAUGUACUAAUGAACUUUUGCAAAUUGGGCCUUGUAAGCCUCCAUGCUUCUUUGUCUGUUAUCUCAACAACACUGGAAUAACCAUACAAUCGUUGAGUAAACUCCCUAAUUCAAAGGACAAUAUGACAAAAAAAAUUUAGAGCUGGCC